AAGUAUAUUACAUAUUGAAGCCCUUCCCCUUAUCUUCUGCAAUGCUCCCUGAGCCUUAGAGGAGAGGGCACGCAUGUCUUGUUUAAAGCUGAGCCCUCAGCUGUCACUUAUUCUCAGCAUCUCUGGAGCCAUCUGCAUUUGCCACCAUUCAUUAGAAAGAAAGGUUUCUCUCAUUAAAGCUGCAGUUGUCUGCAAUAUGGACAUAGAUAUUUAGAAUACAGUUUGACAUGCUCUCAAUUUAGCUAAAUAACAAUACUUAGUUAUCUCCAAGGGCCUAUGUGUUCUCCAUCAUGGAGUUUUGUUCAGGCUUAUAGUGACAGGCAUGGACUCCCUCCUGUGGAGUGGGCCUCAAGUCCAAUCAGGGAGUAGUUGUUCACCUCUAUACCAGUCAUAGUGGUUGGAAUGAGAAAGGUCCCUCAUAGACUCAGGUAUUUGAAUACUUUGCCUCCAGUUAGUGGUGGCAUUUGGGGAAGUUUAGGAGGUACAGCCUUGCUGGAGGAAGUACAUCACUGUGGAUGGGCCUUGAGAGUACAUAUAUAGCCUCACCCUUUGUGGUGGUUUGAAAGAAAAUGGCCCCCAAAUGGAGUGGCACUACUAGGAUGUGUGGUUUUGUUGGAGUGAGUGUGGCCUUGUUGGAGGAAGUGUGUCUCUAUGGAGGCAGGCUUUGAGGGCUCACAUAUGCUCAAGCCACGCCCAGUGCUCAGACCAUUUCCUGUUGCCUGUGAGUCAAGAUAUAGAACCAUCAGCUCCUUCUCCAGCACCAUGUCUGCCUGCAUGCUCCCUGGCUUUCCGCCCUGAUGACAAUGGACUAAACCUCGGAACUUUCUCUCUGCUUAGAGCUUAAGGUUGAAGAUGUAAUCGCUCAGGUUCCUGCUCCUGCUGCAUGCCUGGUGCCAUGAUGGAUUGCUAUCCCUCUGUAAGCCCAAUACCAAGGCUAGCCUGCUGAACACACAGACCGCACUGCAGAGGAGCAUUCAAUCUUUGUUAAGCUGGACUUGAAGAUGAACCUUGCUAGCUUGAGAAAAACAAAGUGGACGCACACAGCUGGAGACUGUAAUUUGACAAACGAAGAAAGAAGAUGAAUGAAACUUCCUGUUUUCCUCUCCCACCCUGGUCUCUCAGGAGUUGAGCUACGAGGCCACCUUCCAACCAGAUGUUUAAUUCCCAAAGCUCCUUUCAGAAUCUCUGCAUAUCAACUAUUCCUUCACACAGCACCACCUGAUCUUAGGUUCAGUUACAACAAGCCCGCUCCAUCCAAGAGACUGCUGGGGCACAGGGCCUCUUGGGAUCAGCCAGUGAAUGUGCCCGACAUAAGACGAUGUGGAACCAAUGAUCUGAACUCUGGGCUUUCUCAUAUAAAUUCAGUACAACCUUAACAACGCUCCUUCUGUAUGUCACUUACUGUGGCAAGAUUCCAAAUUAACUCAUCUAGCCCCAUUAGAGAGAUCCUAACACUGUUCCCACAACCAUGGAUAAUUUCCUGCCCUGGUUUCCACAUCUCAUAGAAUCUCUUAGGACUCUUCUCCUCUCUGUACACUGCUGCAUUCUGAAAAACAAACGUAUGGCAAAGCCACAUGCGUGGAGAAGCUUUGCUCGCUGUAAGAAUUCAUCAGCUGCAUUACUUUCAGGCACUGCCUGGGUUGCUAGACAGGUUGUUUCCCCCUUUGGCUGCUCAUCUUCUUUGGAGACAAGUUGUCAUCGGUUUUAAAGGUCUGUCUCCACCCUCUGUGGUCACACCCAGCUUGCUGAAUCCCAAGGCUCAUUGUUAGUAACAAUGUAGAUUUCUCCAGCCUCUCUCCAGGCUAACUCCCAAACUCUCUGACCUACCUUUGCUCACACUGUGUGAUGUGGAGCAGGGAGGGUGGAUCCCCUUCACAGCAAGACUCUUAAACACUUUUUAAAGAUGUGCUUCAAGCAUGACACAUGUCUAUAUUUGGACUUUUCAUGCUGAAUGACAAUCUAUCAACAGGAUGAGGAGUGGAACUGUUGCUAACAGUCUCUUCCUUACGAAACAGGGAUGCUUUUGGGUGAUUAUUAGUAGCUGGAAAUAUCUUGUCAUUAGUGAGUUUGUAUGGGUGGAUAAUGCUGUCUCCAGAAAUUAUGAGUUUUCCCACCCGAUAUGGGAUACUUCUCUAUGAGAUGUUCCCUAAGAAGUCAUGGUUUUCAUACUAGGUGUGGGACACCAUCCUAUGGUCUGUUCGUUACAGAAGUCCCAGGGCCUCCCAAAACAAUAUUGGACCUUUGCCUUCAUUACUGGUUGCCCAUUAGAAUUAGAUGGUAAGAUCCCAUUGCUGAAGACACCACAUGCUUUGUUUACAGGUCACAGAGAAAUCAAGCUGGAACUGACCUGGAAGCUUCCUCCCUGCUGCCUAGAGCACACAGUGACAGAAGGUGUUAUUCAAGCUGCUUGGGGAGAAAAGACAUCAACUAUCUUACCCAGCUGUAGAUCCUGCAUGCUACAAG